CAGGAUUUGAAUUCCGCUGAGAAAGAGACGCGGGACCCAGACUAAAGGAGAGGAGACGUGGCCUCGUUUUGCGGCAAGUGGAAUGCUGUCUGUCUCCUGGAUAGAAAUUCCUCCACUCACAGCUGGCCUCCCCUGCGGUCAGAACUUGCCCUGCUAAGCUCCCAGCACACCAGCAAGCAGACCAGGAUUGGAAGCAGGCAUGCCAUGAUGUCCUAAAGGUAAAUGCUAGAAUCUUCUCUCUCCAGGAGUUCCCGUUGUGGCUCAGCGGGGUAAGAACUCAACGUAGAGACCGUGAGGAUUCGGGUUUGGUCCCUGGCCUCUCUCAGUGGGUGAAGAUCCAACAUUGCCGUGAGCCGCAGUGUGGGUCACAUAUGCCACUUGGAUCCAGUGUUGCUGUGGCUGUGCUGUAGACUGGCAGCUGCAGCUCUGAUUCGACCCCUAACCUGGGGAACUUCCAUAUGGCACGGGUGUGGCUGUAAAAAAAAACAAAACAAAACACAAACUUAUCUCUCCAAACACAAGAGAGAACAGAAGAUAUACUAGAUACACUAGAACUUACUGGAAGAUACGCUGAAGUUCUGCCCCACCCUCAUGAAAACCGGUGUUUCUCUUUUAACCAUAAACUCUUAGAAUUCUUAUUUCGAGGGUCAAGCUGUCAACUUUCGAGGGUCACCUUUUCCCGUCUCUUUUCCUGGUGCGGUUCCAGGUUGACAGGAGAAGCUUUGCUUGUUAAGUGCCCAGUAAUUAUUUCAUCAGAAGGCUCUUGAGAGAGAGAACCUGUUACCUCUACUCGGGAGGGUGCCCCUUCCACAAAAGUUCAAACUCAUCACACAAGGAAUGGGAAACGUCACCAAUGCAGCGAUUUGAAUUUGGCAGAAGCACAAACCCUCUUAAGAUACUAGAUUUUCCAGUUGCAUCGCCUCACAGAAUGGGAUUCGCCAGAUUUGGAGAGAGGAGCAUGUUUUGGUAUCUAUAAACCGUGUCCUGUUCAGAGAAGUGGCAGUACUGGGUUAGGCAGAAACGUAACACGUGUGAGGCUCAGGUUUCGAACCUCUGCUGCCGAGAGGAUGUAUCAUCUUGGCCAAGGUCUCUGCGCCUUGGUUUUCUUUAAUGCGAGUAUAUCAAAGCCCGCUACUCGGUGCCUCUCCUUAGAUGCCAUGCGAAAACAGC
rnacentral:lncRNA from 1 species